AUAAAAAUAAAAAAUAAAAUAAAAAUGAGAAGUCAUCUUUCUCCUCUGUUCCACCGCCAAAGAUGAGAAGCUCAUUGUUCACCUUAAUCUUCUACACAAAUCAGUUAGAUUCAUUAGAAAAAAUAAAAAAAUUAAACCUAAAAUUUUUGGGUUGUCAGAUUUCUUUCACACCUUCCAAAAUUUAGAUCAAGAUGAUAGAAAACUGUUUUUGUAAUCCAAUACAAAACUCCAAAUCAAUCUUUCACACUUUCCAAAUUUUGAAGUUGAUUUAGUGUAUUGGGCAGAAAUCGGAAGUGCUUCACCAUCUCCUUCGUUCUUCCUCCUACCGAUGUUUUCCAGAAAAAUCAUAUUGAAGCAUCGGUGGUGACAUCAACGGCGGUGGGGGAUGGCGAGGGGUUUGGGAAGACGCUGCCGGUAAAUGGAAGAGGUGGCUGAUCAGGUGAGGAAGAGUUGGCCGAAUAGUCAUCGCUGCAGCUGCAAAGAACAUUACACCUGUUAUAUUAGAGCUUGGAGGAAAAUGCCCCGCUGUUGUGAUUCUGAUGUUAAUCUGCAAGUUGCUGCAAGAAGAAUCAUAGCAGGAAAAUGGUCCUGCAAUAAUUGACACACCUGCACUGCUGCAGAUUAUGUUAUUACCACCAAAGAUUUCGCUCCAAAGCUGAUUGAUGCUCUGAGGUCAGAGUUGGAUGAAUUUUUCGGUAAGGAUCACUUGGAUUCAAAAGACAUGUCAAGAGUCGUUAGCUUGUACCAUUUCAAACGGUUAAUGAAAUUAAUGUAGGAAGAUGGUGUCUCUGAUAAGAUAGUCUUAGGUGGUCAAGAUGCAACGUAACUGUUGUAACACCCUAAUAAUUCCUUCAUUUUUAUAAAACAUUUUUCCCACUUAAAACAAAGGAAUUACCAAGAUAUUACCGCUAUCGUGAUAACGGCUAAGGCUAUUUACCAGAAUUACGCAGCGGAAUUAACUAACUUUCAAAACACAUUAAAUAGUGAAUGAUCAUUUAACAAACUGGAACCAUCAAGGCCCAAACCAAAGUAGUAAGUAGUUCAAAACAGUGAUAAUAGUAGUAAUAUUUGUCAUGACUAUAAAUCAGAAAUAGAGUUUAUGAAUGCGAAAGAUGAAAUAGUCUCUCAUCACUAUUCCCAUGAUAACUUCUCCCGCAAGUUAUCUCUACCAACCUGCUUAUUGAAAUCUACUCCCUAACAAUGCAAGUGCAAUGAUGGAUCAUCAUAGGGUCAUUAAGGCGAAGGCCAUGACCGAAAGACAUGAAGCAAAAGCUGAGUACGAACAAGCUAGAAUAACACUCUAUCCUAACCACCUAAACCAUUUUCUCUCUCUUAAACAUUCUUGAUUUUAGCAAAAACUCACCCCUUGCUCCAGCUCGCCGGAGACGAAGAAGGACAAAGAGGUUCUUAUUUUAGUCUCCGGCGAGUUUAAAUUGUACAGCCUUUCGUGGUGGUUAAUCUGUUUUAGAUAUUUCUUGUUGGGUCUUGCAAUUUUCCAACGGGAUCAUCUUCAUCUGCAACAAUUGAAGGUUCAUCCUUUCUCCUGUUUAAUUACAAGUCUUCUUUUCUAGUGUUUAUUUUUAGCAAGUAGUUCUUGUGUUGUUUUGGAAUCUUGAAUUAGGGGGUAUUUCUUUUGUGGGAGUGUUCAUCUAGUAGGGGUUAUUUUAUUUUUGGUCUGUAAAAUGUGUUCUGUGGAGGUUUACAAUAAAUUUAGGGGGAAGCUCAACCAAAUUCUUACAGAAGGGGAAUGUCUUAUGGAAGAAGAUGAGUUGUUCAUUGAUUUAAUCUCAAAAUCGGAAAACUCUAGGGAUGUUUUAGAUCUUGCAAAGGAUAUGAAGGAGGCAGGAAAUGAUUUUUUCAAGCAAGGAAGUAUGGAGGAUGCUUUGGAGAAGUAUGACUAUGCUGGGAUUAUUCUUGGGUGCUUUCAGUUUGAUGUGGAUGUUGAUAGACUUGAGUUUUUUUGAUCUGGGCAAGUGUAUUCUACUGAAUUCAGCAGCUUGUUUUAGUAAGAAAAGGGAGUAUGGGAUGGUAUAUAGACUGUGUUCGAUUAUACUGGAGUUUAAUCCAUGUAAUGUAAAAGCCUAGUUUAGAAGAGCCAUGGCUGCUCUAGAGUUAGGAAGGAGUGAUUUGGCCUAUUGGGACUUGUUUAUGGCUUCACAUCACGAUCCUAAAAAUCCAGAGGUAUGUA